AUUGACCGCUGGCGGCAGGCCUAACACAUGCAAGUCGAACGAGUGGCGGACGGGUGAGUAAUGUCUGGGAAACUGCCUGAUGGAGGGGGAUAACUACUGGCAACGGUAGCUAAUACCGAAUACCCUCGGCUGUGCCCCGAUGGGAUUAGCUAGUAGGGGGGGUAAAGGCUAACCUAGGCGACGAUCCCUAGCUGGUCUGAGAGGAUGACCGGCCACACUGGAAGUGAGACACGGUCCAGACUCCUCCGGGAGGCAGCAGUGGGGAGUAUUGCACAAUGGGCGCAAGCCUGAUGCAGCCAUGCCGCGUGUAUGAAGAAUGCCUUCGGGUUGUAAAGUCCUUUCAGCGGGGAGGCGUUACCCGCAGAAGAAGCACCGGCUAACUCCGUGCCAGCAGCCGCGGUAAUAC
rnacentral:rRNA from 1 species